rnacentral:rRNA from 1 species
AACGAACGCUGGCGGCAUGCCUAACACAUGCAAGUCGAACGAGACCUUCGGGUCUAGUGGCGCACGGGUGCGUAACGCGUGGGAACCUGCCCUUAGGUUCGGAAUAACUCCCCGAAAGGGGUGCUAAUACCGGAUAAUGUCUUCGGACCUAAGAUUUAUCGCCUUUGGAUGGGCCCGCGUUGGAUUAGCUAGUUGGUAGGGUAAAAGCCUACCAAGGCGACGAUCCAUAGCUGGUCUGAGAGGAUGAUCAGCCACACUGGGACUGAGACACGGCCCAGACUCCUACGGGAGGCAGCAGUGGGGAAUAUUGGACAAUGGGCGAAAGCCUGAUCCAGCAAUGCCGCGUGAGUGAUGAAGGCCUUAGGGUUGUAAAGCUCUUUUACCCGGGAUGAUAAUGACAGUACCGGGAGAAUAAGCGCCGGCUAACUCCGUG